rnacentral:lncRNA from 1 species
CGCGGCUCUGCGCCGCUGCCCUGAGCGUCAUCCAGGUUCGGGUGCCUCCCCGCGUUAAACAGACGAGAAAUCCGAGGUCCGGGGAGCCAAGAGACUUGCCCAAAGUCGCUCAGAGGGCGGUGACAAAGCAAACUUACAUCUGCGACUCCUUGCUUUCCCCCAAGGCUGUGCUCUGUGAAGCUCGGGCCCUGCAGGAUUUGCCUCGCUCUCAUUGGUGAGACUGGGACAGUGUCCCACGCAGCCGGGAGAAAUAUCUAGGAACAGCGUGGGAAGGUGGAGCUUUAUGGCCAAUAAAUAGGGUACAAAGUUGUUUUCCGUCAGUGCCUACAUGCCAAAUAGACACUCGAAGGCUUCCUUUUUACCCGAGAAAGCGGGGCGGGCUGGGGGUGGGGGGGUCGGUGAGGGCGUCAGGCCUUGAGGGCGUGGGAUCCGGUACCAGUCCUGAUCCCGGAAUAAUUGAAUGAAAGCAAGCUCAGACCCACUUAACCAACUAAGAAAUAUCUACAGCUUGAAAUAUACUAAUUUUUGGAAUUGGAUGUGAUGCAGGCAGGCCAGUCUGAGGACACGUGAGGGGGGCCCCAAAGGACGAACCAAAAGGAUCCUUGGCUUCGGGCAGGAUAGAAAUCACAUGUGAAAAGUUUAUGGAAUAGCGGGAGUGACCGAGAAUAGCAGAGGGAGUGUCUGGGAGACUCCAAAGGGGGAAUGAGUCUAGGGGUUGCUUUGGGUUAGGGAUUUAUAUUGGAAAGGUGUCCAGGGUAUGUGUUCCUUGAGGAUUCCAGGAGAGGGGCCAAAGGCACAUGACAGGUGAAUAUUAGGUGUUAUUUUAGAAGGUCUGCGGUGUUGAUGCCAGCGUCAGCCCAGAUUUGAUCGAAGCUAAUGUCCUGGAAUGAGUUUGGGAUCUGGCUCUUCUUAGAUGUUAUCCGGUGUCUGAGAACUUAGGACAGAACUCAGAGAAUAACUUUCUUAUUUCCCCCUUGGAGUGGGAACAUAGCUCCUCUGGUUUAUGCAAACGCAAAAAAUAGAACAUGAGUAAAUGGGGCCUAGCAGAAGAACAGCAGAGAUGGAGCCUUUCUAAAAAUGGAGUCCCUUCCGUUUCCCUAUCUCAGAUGCUUUAUCUGUGCUGGCAGUUGUCUACUUCCAGAAGUCUCCUGCAGCACUCCUGUUCCUUUUAGGGCCAGAGGCUCCUAGGGCCUGACUUUUAGAACAGGAGGCCCACGAGGCAAGUCAGUCACAGCUGGUUUGCUGCUUCCUUCAGUGUCAGUCCGUGUUGACUAAGGGCUUGCCAUAUGCCUGGUUGGUGGGUGGAGAGCCAGAUAAGACCAGACUCUGACACCCAGUGAAUCCCAACUAGGGAGCACUGCAUAAGACUCCGUAUCCUUUACUCCCAGGAUCUAGAGUCUGUCCACAGUAGUAGAGACUCUGACACUACUCUGCCUCUUAAAAACUUCUCUGUGCCAGGGGAGCAAAUACUUCAAGAUCCGUUUUGCAGACACUUUCAAGUAAAUGGCCAGCUUUGCACUCAUCUCCUUUUCCCCAGUGGGACCUCCUUUUUCUGCAAGAGUCACUAAAGAUCAGGUAAUUCACUCUGCUUGUCUCCCCCGUCUGCACACGAAGAAGAUGAUGAUAAAAACAAGUAAGGCUUCUAUCAUCCAUCUUGGGCGCUAUUCUAAGAUAUCUGUACAGAUUCCUGUAAUCAUCACAAAGUUACGAAAGAGGUGCCAUUUCUAUUCUGAUUUUAUAGAUGACAAGAGGGAAGCAGGUGAAGUGAAAUAAGUUGCCAAUAAAUGGAAGAGCCAGAACUCAGACCCUGAUGGGCUGCCCCAAGUAUCCAUACUGUUAACAGCUGAGGAGACUGAGGCCUCUGAGACUGGGAUUUGAAUGGCCCACCGGCCCACACCAGCCCCCACUCGCACCACCGAAGCUUCUGGUUAUCUCAAGCAAGGGGCGUUACGAAAGCCACACUCACAGAAUUCCUCCCAAAGAGACCAGUUUUCUUAUUCUGAAUAUAUCCAAUCAAAAGUGGUUAUCCAGGGGCAUCUGGGUGGCUCAGUCGGUAAAGGGUCCAACUUCUGCUCAGGUCAUGAUCUUGCAGUUUGUGAGUUAGAGCCCCGCAUCAGGCUCUGUGCUGACCUCUCAGAACCUGGAUCCUGCUUCAGAUUCUGUGUCUCCCCCCUCUUUCUGCCCCUCCCAUGCUCAUGCUCUGUCUCUGUCUCUCAAUAAUAAAUAAAUGUUAAAUUUUUUUUUUUAAAAAGUGGGUAUCCAUUCACUCACUUGCUCCCCUGUCUCCAACUCCCAGAUCAACCUACUUACUAGUCAUAAAGCAAACUGUUUCUAUGAUGGGACCUUAAAAAACACCUUUAGCAUAAAAUUUGGGCACGUUGUUUUGGAUUGUUCUAUAUUCAGACCAUGCCCAUUCUCUCCCUGCCCUCUCUAUUCACUGCCAUCAAUUAGUCCCUUUCCUUAAAACAGUGCCCCAAGUCUUCCAAAAGCUGAUUGUCCAAGGCUGGAUGGUGGCCACGGAAGGUCUCUGCUACGCUGUGCAGCACGCUCAGUAUUCCUGUUAGUUUCCCAGAGCUGCCGUAACAAAUUACCACGAACUAGGUGACUUAAAACAGUAGAAAUGUAUUCUUUCACAGUCUGGACCCAGAAGCCUGAAAUUAAGGGGCUGGCAGGGCCAUGCUCCCUCUGAAAGCUCUAGGGAAGAAUACUCCUCUGUCUCUUCCUCGCUUGCGGUGGUCAAGGGCACUCCUUGGCGCUCCUCGGCUUGCAGAAACAUCACUUCAGACUUUGUUUCCUUUACUACGUUAGCCUUCUUUUGUGUGUGUGUGUCUUCUCUGUGUCCAAAUUUCUGUCUUCUUUAGGGUUAUCGGACCCUGGAUUUAGGACAACCCUAAUCCAGUAUGACCUCAUCUUAACUUGAUUACAUCUGCAAAGACCCUAUUUCCAAAUAAGGUCAGGUCCACAGGUUCUGGGUGGACAUGAAUUUUGGGAGGACCCUAUUCCACCAAGUACCAGCCCUAAAAGUCACUGUUAAUGAAAAUGUUUGCUUGAGCUAAGGAGGCAAAGAGUUAUAAAUCACAGGGCCUCUCCUCCAAGUAAGACAUUGUAGUUACAGACAUAGUCCCUGUACCCAGGACAUCAAUAACCAACAGGACAGGAGAUGCCAAGCGCCAAAUGAUGGGCCAAAUAAAUGACAGCCAUGCUCAGGAAGUCAGCCAAGGGGACACAGUCACUGAGGACACCACUAAAGCACAUCACUCCGAGCAGAGGGCAAUCUAAGCACACCCUUGUAGGAAAGCAAAGAUAAGUAAGGAUAGCUUAUCAAAAGCACAGCUGUGAGUGGGGAAGGCGUGCCUGGCAGAAUUUUACUUCUGAAGUUUUACUGCAGAAAUGAGAGGCUAAAAGGACACCUACCAUAUGGAGUAUAAGAACAAGGUAGAUUAUUUGGCCACAAUAAUGGUAUGUUGCAAUGCCAUUGCAAUUAGCAUGCUUUAAAGUGCUCGUUCCUUUCAUUAAUUUCAUUCGGUCUUUUUUUUUUUUUUAAUGUUCUAUUUAUUUUUGAGAGAGCACAAGUGGGAGAGGCAGAGAGAGAGAGAGGGAUGAAGGAUCUGAAGGGAGCUCUGAGCUGCCAGCACAGAGCUGGAUGCUGGGCUUGAACUCACGAAACACAAGAUCAUGAAUUGAGCCGAAGUUGGAUGCCCAACUGACUGAGCCACCCAGACGCCCCUCAUUUGGUCUUUAUAACAAUCAGAGUGUCAUCAGAGAAAAGGACAUUAUAUCUUACAUCUAAGGAUCCUGGGGCUCAAAGGGGGCAAAUAAUUUGCUCAGGUCAAACAGCAAAUCGGUUGUAGAAUUGGUAGGAAACACACUGGCCUCAAUAGUCCUUGUUCAGGAAUUUCCUUACCAAAUGAUGUUUUCCCCUGGGUGAGCCUUCCAGUACUGGCUGUGUUGUCCUUGGCCCAAGGAAAGCAUCUGAAGAACAGGGUAAUCCUGUAAGAAAUGAAAAGCCUUCCUAAAGCCAUGUGAAUUCCAAAUUGGAAUUGUGAUAAACCUCCCCCAGACAUCUGAAUUGGUUUCACUAAACCUUCUGAGUAUUUUUGGCUGUAUUAAAGAAUCUCCUUUGGCCUUCUAGAAACAUAAUAGGAUACAGUGGCCUUCUGAGAAGCUCAGCUGAUUACCUCAUGAAAAUAGAAGUUGGAGAAGUUGAGAUGUUGGAUACAAAAGGCAACAAAUUACAUCACAAAAUGGUAAGCUGACAAAAACUGAUAAUCACAAUUUCGUGUUGGAUCUCACCAGUGUGGAGUCAUGCGCAGAUGACCAGAUCUUGGCAUGUUUGAAAGAUUGUCCACUAAGAAUCUGUAACUGUGGCAAGCAGCUGGAAGUAAGCAGAAAGUCUAACCUUGGGCUGAGUAUCUGAUGAUUGAUGUGUAUUUUCCUGGAUUUUCCUUUACUUAGUAAUCAGGGAACUUGCUAUAUCCUCUGCUGGCUGUGUUUAAUGGUAUGUUUAAGGAUGAAAUGCUUUUGAAUCUAGUGUGAUUCACUGAGUUCUUACCUGUGCAAAGUGCUACACUGGUUGCUACAAGAGAAUACAAAAAUAUAAGAGACAGUCCCUGACCUUGAAGAAAAGCCCAUAUCAUUUAGGAGAGAUGAGACGUAGAGAUUAAAAAUGGUAUAAGUGGGGCUGCAAUGAUAUUCUCAGCAGUUUCUCGUCAAUCAGUUGUCUGUUCAGAUGCAACUUCUCUUGCCACCCUUUUUACAACAAUGGCUUCCUGUACCUCCAUAUCACCUUCUAGCCCUUUAUCUUGCUCUCUGGCCUUUAUGACAUUUGUCACUAUCUGAAAUUAAUUUCUUUGCUUGUUUACUCUGCUCCUAGACAGAGGACAUGGAAUUGUCUCGUUUUUUGGUGUAUUCCUAGCAGCUAAAACAAUGCUGGGCACAUAUUUGGUGCUCAUUAAAAUUUUCCAGACAAAUGAAUGAAGUACAUAUUAAUCAACUGAAAAUGGGCCAAGAUAAGUUGAAUUAAUGUAGUGUUUCCCACAUUUGACUGAUAAAACUUAUAUGGGCACUAUCAAAAAAUUUUUUGUGAAGAUUUUGAUUCAGUAAGCCUGGAAUGGGGCCCAGGAAUCUGUAUUUUUAAGAAGCAUCCCAAAUGAUUCUUUUAAUGGGACAAGUUUGAGAAACAGAGGAUUUUUUUUUUUUUAAAGUACAUUUAAUGUUUAUUUUUGGGACAGAGAGAGACAGAGCAUGAACGGGGGAGGGGCAGAGAGAGAGGGAGACACAGAAUCAGAAACAGGCUCCAGGCUCUGAGCCAUCAGCCCAGAGCCUGAUGCGGGGCUCGAACUCCCGGACCGCGAGAUCGUGACCUGGCUGAAGUCGGACGCUUAACCGACUGCGCCACCCAGGCGCCCCGAGAAACAGAGGAUUAAUGCAGUGAUUGAUGCAUUGAUGGUGGUUGGGAAAAAAAAAAACAAAACUGAAGUUACAAGACCAGUUUCCAAAGAUCAGUGGCUGCUCACUGGAAUCACCUGGGAGAGAUUUAAAAAACCCUGUGGGUGCCUGGGUGGCUCAUUUGGUUAAGCAGCCUACUCUUGAUUUCAUCUCAGGUCAGGUACUCAUGGUUAGUGAGUCGCUGCGCUGACAGCACAGAGCCUGCUUGGGAUUCUGUCUCCCCCUCUUUGCCCCUCCCCCCCACAUGGGUACGUGUGCUUGCUCUCUCUCUCACUCUCUCUCUCUCAAUAAAUAAAUAAACUUACAAAAAAAAAAUCCCAACAGCACAGACACUACUCCAGAUCAAUGAAACUAGAAUCUCUUGGGAUGAGGCCUAGAUUUGGUCUGGGUUUUAACAUUCAACAGGUGUUCCUAAUAAAUAUCCAAGACUGACAAUCCCCUGAGAUCUGCAGAAAUAUUUUAUAAGUACUCCAUGUAUAUUGCUAAGUUGUGGUCCAGUGGCUUCCAGCUUCUUGUGUCCCACAGCUAGAAUCCUUGAUCUCCUAGUCUGGAAGAAACACAUGCAGACACUUACACAAUAACCCAAUUUGGGGAGAACUAUAGUAACUUUUUGCUAUUGUAAAACAUGUAAUUGGGGUGCCUGGGUGGCUCAGUUGGUUAAGUGUCUGAUUUCGGCUCAGAUCAUGAGCUCGUGGUUGGUGGGUUCGAGCUGUGUGCUGACAGCUCAGAGCCUGGAGCCUGCUUCCAAUUCUGUGUCUCCCUCUCUCACUGCCCCUCCCUCACUUGCAUUCUGUCUGUCUCUCUCUCUUAAAAAUAAACAAACAUUAAAAAAAUUUAACAAAAAAGGUUAUUUAAAGCAACAACUGAAUAAAAUCUCAUGUACUUCAUGGCCAGAGAAAAAAACACAUACAAUAUUUUGAAGGUGAGAAAGCCAACGCCCCUUGGGCAUAGCCUAGAUGGUUAGAAUGAGUCAUAGAGAGUAAAAAUGCUACGCUUAUAAUAAAAUGGGAGAAAACAGGGGCACCUGGAUGGCUUAGUCAGUUAAGCGUCCGACUUUGACUCAGGUCAUGAUCUUACAGUGUGUAGGUUCAAGCCCCGUGUCGGGCUCUGUGCUAACAGCUCGGAGCCUGGAGCCUGCUUCGGAUUCUGUGUCUCCCUCUCUCUCUCUGCCCCUCCCACACUCACAAUCUGUCUCUCUCUCUCUCUCUCUCUCUCAAUAAAUAAAUAAAAAAAAAAAAAAAAAAAAAAAAGGAGGAAACAUAGGAGAAUCCUGAGUUUCUCUCGGAGGCCUACAGAAAGGUGAGAGGUGGCCCAGGAAAGAGAGAAAGGGGAAGAUGUGGAAAGAGUCUACAACAGUGGUUCUCAAUCUGGCUGCAUAUUAAAAUCACCUAAGGUGCUGAAGAAAUUACCGAUCCCAGACUCGUUCUCAAAGAUUUUCUGUAUUAAGUAUAGGGAUGUAGUGUGUGUGUGUGUGUGUGUGUGUGUGUGUGUGUGUGAUGCAGCAAGGUUGUUAAUCACAGGUUCAGAGAGGGGAGCCCGGGCAACUUACCCCUCAUAACAACAACAGCUAUCAUUUAUUUUUUUAACGUUUUUUAUUUUUAUUUUUAUUUUUGAGAGAGUCAGCACAGAGCCUGACUCUGGGCUUGAACCCACAAACAUGAGAUCAUGACCUGAGCUGAAGUCCAUUGCUCAACUGACUGAGCCACCCAGGCGCCCUGACAGCUAUCAUUUAUUGAGCAACCCCUCUGUGCCAGCCACAGUGGCUGAUGCCUGCUUUAUGCAGCUUACCUCAUUGAAUCCUCACGUACAUCUGAGGAGGAAGGUACGUUGGUAGCUCCAUUUACAGACAUGGAAACCUAGAGAGGGUCACAAGGUUCCCUAAUUAGAGAGUGGCAGAGCUAGGAUGUCGGCCCCGAGCCUGCUCUCAUAUCCACUGUCUUGUCCUGCUUCAACCAAGGCAGGGUGUGAUGAGGACGUCCUUAAAGAGAAACUCCCUGUGGCAGAGGUCAUGUCCAGACAUUAAGUUUUGUGCUGUACUGUGCUGGAACUCCUUCCCCUUUAUCACCAAGCCUUCCGGGAAGCCCCUGCUCCACAACAGCUGGGGUGGGUGGUGCUUUGGGGAAAGGACCAGGUGGGGUGAGAUCAGUAUGAGGCAGAGGGAUGUGGGAGGUGGUGAGAGCAUUAGUGGCUGAGAGCAGUGUCCAAGGACCAAGCUGACCAGUAGGCUGAUGGAGUUUCAUAGAAAAACAGCUACAGUGGGGCGCCUGGGUGGCUCAGUCGGUUAAGCGUCCGACUUCAGUUCAGGUCACGAUCUCGCGGUCCGUGAGUUCGAGCCCCGCGUCGGGCUCUGGGCUGAUGGCUCAGAGCCUGGAGCCUGUUUCCGAUUCUGUGUCUCCCUCUCUCUCUGCAUCUCCCCUGUUCAUGCUCUGUCUCUCUCUGUCUCAAAAAUAAAUAAACGUUAAAAAAAAAAAUUAAAAAAAAAAAAAAAAGAAAAACAGCUACAGUAGAGAAUGUAGAGAAACAGCAGCAGAGGGACCAAAAAUGGGGCAGUGGCGGACUUCGCCCUGUGUGUUGACUGAGCGGCUCAGAGUCUGUCCCCUUGGCUUCUAUAGGAAAGGGACCUCCACCAUUUUAGAGAGGGGCUCUCUGGGCUUGCGUUACGACACAUAAAAUAAUUUGUGACAGAGAGCCAGGUUCUUCCACAUUUGACUGUCUACUUGUUUAUUUAUCCUGGAUACCUUUUUUUUUUUUUUUUGGUUAAGUAUCAAAAUUUUCUUAAACCUCUCCAUAUCUACCACUAGCAUUUCUGUUUCGGGGACAUUUUUACAUGAGGAAACCUAAUUUUUGUUUUGUUCUGUUUAGUCAUUUCGUAACAGUUAAUGUGUAGGCAUAAUGAGCAGAGAACAAAAAUGCUGUGCUGAGGUGAAGAUGUUGGGUGAUUGGCAAGUCUCACCCACCAGCUGGGUAACUUGUCUCACCACUUCCUGGCCUCCGGCUUUGAAGGACAUGACCCAACUUCAUAUCUCAGCCAGCCUGCCAGACGUCAUGGAACUUUAAGGUGUCUUGUGAAAAUCUAAAAACAGAAAUGUUAACUGCUUUUACUUUUAGAAAUACCACUAUUUACAUUACAGCUUCAAAUGUUUGCAUCUGCCGUUCCUACUUUAAAGUCCCUGGCAAAGUAGCCUAAAUGAAAGAAUGUGAAGUAACAAGUAUGUCCAAGGAAUUUAAGGUUGACCAUGCAGCCUGUACUCAGGGCUUAAAUAGAGACCGAGGCAAGCUGAUCUGACCAUGGCCUCAAAUUCUGUUCCUCUUAUUUAGGUCCAUAAAAGAAUUAUGGAUGUGAGAACGUUAUGAUUAAGUUUAAGCAGAAGCUUACUGUAUUUCUUGGCUUUAACAAGUUUAAGAAUGAUAUAGCCCUGGUAUCCUUCUCUGAAAUAGGCUUCAACAUAAAUGUGCUGAGGAGAAAUAGGAGAGGGUGUCCAAAGAAAUACACAUGGUGGGUAUGUGCUAUUACCCCUCAUGGAACUGGGAAUCCAAAGGGACUUAAAAGUCCAGGUCCUCUGGGCACAUGCAUUCAUUUAAAAACAACAGGACAGUUUCCCAUGAAAAUUGAGUUUGGGCAAUAUUUCAGAUGAAUAAGCUUUACUCAUUCUUUGUACUGGAACUCCCUAGAUUGAGAAAGAGAGAGCCCAAGAACAGAUACCAAUGUGUUCAUAUUGCAACUCAUCCAGUAAGACUGCUGCAUUCCAUUUGCCACUUAUGUCUCCGUCUGCCAUGACUACCUGUCAUUCACUGAAGUGAGCAAAUACUGACUCCCUCAGAGUGUGUAGGAGGAAGGAGUCGAUACGGUCGUCAUCACUCAAAAUGAUGUCGAUACUCUUGUAAUCAUUUUGUAUAUAUACAAUCAGGCAAAUACUUUUGGUUGAGAGAGAGGAAAUAUAUGGUAGCUGACAGCAUGAGUUCUGAAGCCAGAUUAUUAGGUUUGAAUCCCAGCUUUACCACUUGGUAGCUGUGUGACUUUGGGCCAAGUUACUUCAUUCUGUCCCUCAGUUUCCUUAUUUGUAAAACGGGAAUAAUAUCUCUGCCUCAUAGGGUGUGGUGAGGAUUAAAUGAGUUAUUACAUUGAAAGUGGUUAACAAUGACUGGUACAUAUUAAGUGUUCAAUAAAUAUUGCUCUUAGCCCAACUCCUCCCCCUCACACAUAUGUUUGGUGUUUUUGUUUGUUUGUUUGUUUGUUUUACUGACAGAUUCUGGAAUCCGUACAACUGACUACUCUCCUGCACAUGGGCAAAUCCUUUUUCCUCUCAACCAAUCAAGUUAAUCCUACUUCCCAGGCCAGUGACUAGUUUACAAACGGGCAGAUGGUAUAAUUCUAGCCAAUGAGACACAAUGUCCCGGGGUGGUCGUGGUGCUCGGAAAAGAUGUGCAUUGGAAGAAAGUUCUUUCUGUUCUUCUUCUAAUGAGGCUGUUUCUACAUGUACACCUCCUGUAAUAGCCCAGCCAUCUUGGCACUGUGAAGGGAGCUGGAAGAAAGAUGGAAACAACAGUGACAAUGUUGAGUUGAAGAAUUAAUGAAGUCUAAAGUUUCUACCUCUGGACUCGUUAUAGGAAAUAAAUUUUCCUUAUUGUUUAAGCCAUUUUUGAGUAGAGUUUUCUAUUAUUGUACCUGAAACCUUCUAACUGGUUGAUAUUUCUUGAGCAUCUAGUAUGUUUGAGAUAUUUUAUGGAAAUAAGGUAUAAAUCUCUAAGCCUGAUAUCAACAAGUUUUCCAGCUAUUUGCAGGGAGAUGAACUAUGAGAACGAAUAAUACCAAGCUGUAAAUAUUCGGUGCUUGGAUCAGGGUGGUCUGAGAAAGCAAUACAUGAGGUCAUAUAUGAGGAGAGGGCUCAAAGAGUAAAGAACACAUAGAUGGGCAGAAGAGAGAGGGAAUAUUCUAGGUAGUAUAAACAAAUGUAUGGGAGAGUUAGGGAUUGCAUUAACUUGCUCAGAGCGCCAUUACAGAAUACCACAAACUGGGUGGCUUAAACAACAAAAAGUUACUUCUCAUAGUUCUGGAGUGUAGAGAUCCAAGAUCAAGGAUUCAGCAGUGUUGAUUUCAUUCUGAGCCCUCUGUCCUUGGUUUGCAGAUGGCUGCUUUCUUGCUGUGACUCACAUAGUCUUUAAAAAAA